rnacentral:rRNA from 1 species
GAUGAACGCUGGCGGCGUGCCUAAUACAUGCAAGUCGAGCGAACAGACGAGGAGCUUGCUCCUCUGACGUUAGCGGCGGACGGGUGAGUAACACGUGGAUAACCUACCUAUAAGACUGGGAUAACUUCGGGAAACCGGAGCUAAUACCGGAUAAUAUAUUGAACCGCAUGGUUCAAUAGUGAAAGACGGUUUUGCUGUCACUUAUAGAUGGAUCCGCGCCGCAUUAGCUAGUUGGUAAGGUAACGGCUUGCCAAGGCAACGAUGCGUAGCCGACCUGAGAGGGUGAUCGGCCACCCUGGAACUGAGACACGGUCCAGACUCCUACGGGAGGCAGCAGUAGGGAAUCUUCCGCAAUGGGCGAAAGCCUGACGGAGCAACGCCGCGUGAGUGAUGAAGGUCUUCGGAUCGUAAAACUCUGUUAUUAGGGAAGAACAAAUGUGUAAAUAACUAUGCACGUCUUGACGGUACCUAAUCAGAAAGCCACGGCUAACUACGUG